rnacentral:rRNA from 1 species
UACGUAGGGAGCAAGCGUUGUCCGGAAUCAUUGGGCGUAAAGCGCGCGUAGGUGGCCCCAUAAGUCCGCUGUGAAAGUCAAGGGCUCAACCUUUGAAAGCCGGUGGAUACUGUGGGACUAGAGUACGGAAGAGGCGAGUGGAAUUCCUGGUGUAGCGGUGGAAUGCGCAGAUAGUCAGGAGGAACACCGGUGGCGAAGGCAGCUUGCUGGGACGUUACUGACGCUAAGGCGCGAAAGCGUGGGAGCGAACGAGG